UACGUAGGGGGCAAGCGUUGUCCGGAUUUAUUGGGCGUAAAGAGCGUGUAGGCGGCUUGGUAGGUCCGCUGUGAAAACUCGAGGCUCAACCUCGAGAUGUCGGCGGAAACCACUUGGCUAGAGUCCGGAAGAGGAGAGUGGAAUUCCCGGUGUAGCGGUGAAAUGCGCAGAUAUCGGGAAGAACACCUAUGGCGAAGGCAGCUAACUAAGCUUUAACUGACGCUGAGGCGCGAAAAGCGUGGGGGAGCAAACAGG
rnacentral:rRNA from 1 species